rnacentral:rRNA from 1 species
UACGUAGGGGGCAAGCGUUGUCCGGAAUCAUUGGGCGUAAAGAGCGUGUAGGCGGCUCGAUAAGUCUGCUGUGAAAGUCCAGGGCUCAACCCUGGAAGGCCGGUGGAAACUGUCGGGCUAGAGUCCGGAAGAGGCGAGUGGAAUUCCCGGUGUAGCGGUGAAAUGCGCGGAUAUCGGGAGGAACACCAAUGGCGAAGGCAGCUCGCUGGGACGGUACUGACGCUGAGACGCGAAAGCGUGGGGAGCAAACAGG